rnacentral:rRNA from 1 species
AUUACAGGCGGAAGUUUUCGGAUGGAAGCUUGUAAACUUAGUGGCGGACGGGUGAGUAACGCGUGAGGAACCUGCCUUUCAGUGGGGGACAACAGUUGGAAACGACUGCUAAUACCGCAUAAUGUAUUCUGACCGCAUGAUCGGAAUACCAAAGAUUUAUUGCUGAAAGAUGGCCUCGCGUCUGAUUAGAUAGUUGGUGAGGUAACGGCCCACCUAGUCUUCGAUGGAUAGGGGUUCUGAGAGGAAGGUCCCCACAUUGGAACUGAGACACGGUCCAAACUCC